GUGCUGGGCUUCCUUUGGCUGACGGGGGCUGUGCUGCUGCUGGUGCUGCUGGUGCUGGAGCCAUGGGGAACCGGGUGGCGCUGAGCAGCAGGGCAGACUUCGAGUGGGUCUACACCGAGCAGCCCCACACGCAGCGCAGGAGGGAGAUCCUGGCAAAGUAUCCAGCCAUCAAAUCCCUCAUGGGUUCAGAUCCGCACUUAAAAUGGGUUGUGAUAGGGAUGGUGCUCACCCAGCUUCUGGCCUGCUACCUGGUGAGAAAUUUGUCCUGGAAGUGGGUUUUCUUCUGGGCUUAUGCUUUUGGAGGCUGCAUCAACCACUCUAUGACACUGGCAAUCCAUGACAUCUCUCACAACGUGGCCUUUGGGAACAAGCAGGCCAGGUGGAACAGGUGGUUUGCCGUCUUUGCCAACCUGCCUGUUGGAAUCCCAUACUCUGCCUCCUUCAAGAAAUACCACAUUGACCAUCACCGGUACCUUGGUGGACAUAAUCUGGAUGUGGACAUCCCCACAGAUUUUGAGGGUUGGUUCUUUUGCACUCCGUUUCGGAAGCUGAUCUGGGUCACUUUGCAGCCAUUUUUUUAUGGCUUGAGACCACUCUGUGUGAAUCCUAAGGCCAUUACUGAGAUGGAAGUCUUUAAUGCCUUGGUCCAGUUCUCCUUUGACCUUAUCAUCUUCUACCUAUGGGGUUUGAAGCCAAUUAUUUAUAUGGUAGCUGGGACGUUACUUUGCAUGGGUUUGCAUCCAAUUUCUGGGCACUUCAUUGCAGAACAUUAUAUGUUUUUGAAAGGAUAUGAAACGUAUUCUUACUAUGGGCCCCUCAACUGCAUCACAUUUAACGUUGGCUAUCAUAUGGAACACCAUGAUUUCCCCAGCAUUCCUGGUUCAAAGCUGCCAAUGGAAUACUGGAAGAUGUUUCAGAACAUCAGCCCAUUUCCUGGAUUCCAGACACGGUUGUUCCUCAGAAGGAUGCUAGGGACUGAAUGUGGGACCUUAUCCAUACACAGCGUGUACUCAAUAUCUCUAAGCUUUCUACCAUGCUGACUCUAAAACUGCAUUUGACAGCACAGGAAUCAUAACCCAGAGACUGACAACGGAAUGCAAUAAAAUGAACAUUUAAAUUGAAAGACUUCCAGAUGUUUCAACAGGUGGAUUGCAUCAGUAUCUCCCACAUUUCCCAAAAGACCACUAAUGAUUUAUGAAACAAAUUUAUGAAGAUGUCACAGGAUUAAUUAUAAAUUAACUCUCCAGACAAACCAACAGGCUCAAGUAUUCCACCACACUGGGGAAAACAAAAAUGAGUUGUUCAGUCUCAUUACACACUUGGAACAUCAUACCUGGAACAUUUCUUUUCGUUUUUCAUCUUGAUCCACCCUUCAGUCAUUGUCUCUUGACUAGUUUCUGUAUUUAUCUGAACUAUCUGUUGUAGUAUGACAAUCUAAAUGUGCAGCUGUAACAUGGAAUACUGUUCCAUAUUCUGUAAGAUUGUUAAUUCAAAGAAAGGGCUAGAAUUUUACCUCAGGUUAAAAGGUAAAAAUCCCUUAAACUGGAUAUGUUAUUUAGACUAAAAUCACUGAAAGAUGCAUUCAUCCAACAGCCCCCCUUUUAACAAUCAGAUUCCACACAUUUUCUAAGCAAUAAGGCCUGUUUUCUUGUCCAAAGAUUUGUGUACUUCGAGUUGGGCUGAAUGGCAUUUGGUUAACAUUGUGGGAAACAAAGCAUUGUACUAGCUAAUUGAUCUAAAGUUUGUCAGAUUGAUUGUACAUCAUGAGAUCUUUGAAUAAAAGGUGAAAUAGAAAUAGUUUUAAAAAAUAACUAUAUAUAGAGAUCUCUGAUUUGAUUGAACAGUCCUCAUUUCAUGCCUUAAACAUAUGCCAAAAAAGAGAGAUCUGGCUUGCAUCCAAUUGCUAGUUCCAACUCACUGAAUUUGAUUGCUGAAUGGUAAAACAACACCUACGUAAUCCCACUGAGUCAAUGGAUCUAUUUUGGUUGGAAUUAGCAGUUUGAUUUAGGCCCUUAUAUUACACCUAAAUCUAUUCCAAGUUUGUAAAUAGCUACUUGCUUAAUUAACUUUACAGAGCUUGGAAGUUACACAUUACAAAUAAUGAUGGUGGCCAGUAUUCUACAUUAGCUACUUAGUUAAAGCUACUUAAGUAUACUUAACUAAGUACCUCCCAUGGACCUCUUUCUCCCAUGCAACCGACACUGGGUAAAGUAGGAUGGGGUGGGGAGUUAUGAUUGUGACAAAAGUGCCAUGACUGUGACCGAGUAGCGAUCAUGAUUAUAGAACAGUUAUGGAUGAUUAUCUCUACUUUGUUACUUUGGGGAAUUAUGAAGGUAUUGCAAUGUACUAGCAUUACUACUUUCUCCUAUGGAAAAAAAAUACUGUUUACUCAUUUUUUUCUUGGUACAAUUUGGGGUACAAAAAUUAUUUGGGGAGAAUUUUAGGACACUUUAUAAAGAUAGCUUUUACAUAAACACACACUAUAGGAACAAACAUCAGAAAAGAGUGAUGGUUUUAAAAAUAACUUCCCAAAUUUGAUAGCUUAAAACUGAUCUCCCACCCCAAAAUAAUGAGGUGUGAGAAAUGUCUACAGGCAGUUUUAGACCACAAAUCCCUAAGUGUAGACAGCCAAACCAGUAAACAUACUGAGAGACAACAGUUCUGGUAAACUUAUUUGAAAGGUUACAGACAUACUUCAUACAUAACUUCUCUUACUUUUUAAAAUGGGGCAUGAUGACUGCCUUUCUGUGACAUUUGAUCUAAUAUGUAUGCACUGUAUUUUGAACAAAUACUUAUUUUCUAAUAUUUGAUGCCGUUCUGCUAUCCCCACUGCCCCUCUAUUCUUUGAAGCUGAGUGUAUCUGAAAUGGAGCACUACCUGUGUUCUUAAAAUUGAAACUAUUAUUAUGAUUAUGUUGUUAAUUCCUGUUAAGCUUGUUUGAUUUGCAACUGAAACCAAAAGCACUAGCUGUAAUACUGGCAAUGUCGGAUCACAGCUAGAGCAGGUACACUGAACACAGUGGAUUUGCAAAAGUGUUGAUUUAAAGUCCAACAAUUAGUCCAAUGUGUCUACAAUAGCCAGGAUUAGCAAAUGGAUUUAGGCCAUUUCUUCCUAUUUCUGAGCUCCAUACUUCUAUUAACUUUUUUUAAAAAAGAUUCUUAGCUACCCUGAACAAUUCUGGAAUAGGUGGAUGGCGAAGAAAACAGAACUAAAAAAAAUGUGGUUGCCUUUUUGUUUUCUUCAUAGUCUGACUGUUCUUCAGAUUGUUGUAGUCUAUGAUAGACUUCUUUGUAGACAAAUUACUUUCAGUAAUUCUACUGUUCAGUCAAUGAUUUUCCAUUCUGCCUCUGUACAUUUCCCCAAGUGAAUUCCUUCUCAUAUGACUGGAUUAAUUUCUUCCUGUCUACAGCUUUAGUUUCUUUUAAAUCACUUUGAUCUCUAAUCUGACAAAGUGCUUGAAAUUCCCCCAAUUGGGGGGUUAUCAUUUGUAAAGCAUACUCUUCUGUUUUUCAUUGAAGCCUGCAAUAAAACA